UGAACGCUAGCUACAGGCUUAACACAUGCAAGUCGAGGGGCAGCAUGACGAUAGCUUGCUAUGUUGAUGGCGACCGGCGCACGGGUGAGUAACGCGUAUCCAACCUUCCCUAUAGUAGAGGAUAGCCCGGCGAAAGUCGGAUUAAUACUCUAUGUUGUAUUUAGAUGACAUCAGAAGAAUACCAAAGGUUUACCGCUAUAGGAUGGGGGAUGCGUCUGAUUAGGUAGUCGGCGGGGUAACGGCCCACCGAGCCAUCGAUCAGUAGGGGUUCUGAGAGGAAGGUCCCCCACAUUGGAACUGAGACACGGUCCAAACUCCUACGGGAGGCAGCAGUGAGGAAUAUUGGUCAAUGGGCGAGAGCCUGAACCAGCCAAGUAGCCGUGCAGGAUGACGGCCCUAUGGGUUGUAAACUGCUUUUAUACGGGGAUAAAGUGAGGGACGUGUCCCUUAUUGUAGGUACCGUAUGAAUAAGGACCGGCUAAUUCCGUGCCAGCCGCAGC
rnacentral:rRNA from 1 species